rnacentral:rRNA from 1 species
AACGGGUGAGUAACGCGUGAGGAACCUGCCUCAAAGAGGGGGACAACAGUUGGAAACGACUGCUAAUACCGCAUAAGCCCACGGCUCGGCAUCGAGCAGAGGGAAAAGGAGCAAUCCGCUUUGAGAUGGCCUCGCGUCCGAUUAGCUAGUUGGUGAGGUAACGGCCCACCAAGGCGACGAUCGGUAGCCGGACUGAGAGGUUGAACGGCCACAUUGGGACUGAGACACGGCCCAGACUCCUACGGGAGGCAGCAUG